ACCUCUGCGUCCAACUUCUGGGUGUAGCAAUGACCAAGACAGAAAAAAUUGCCCCUCUCCUGUGAGUUAUACCAUAGCAGGAAAUGCAGACAGUAGAUACAUAAAAUGUUCCAUAAUAUGCUUCUGGUAAUAAGAGUCUUGAAAACAAAGAAAGAAAAGCAAGAGAGAUAGAAAGAGAUUGGAAGAGCGU